GGGCUUUUCAUGUCGCCGCAUCGUCCCUAUAUCGGUCGGGCCGAUGGGGGAAUUCUCUCCUGCCGGCUAUGGCGAUAAACCGUGGCGUGUCAUAGACACAGCGGACCCGGGGGCAGUACCCGGCGACUCCACCACCGCCCCUUUGCAAAGAGGGACGAUGACGGGGUCGAACUAGGAUCGACGUGUGUUCAACGACGCUAUGUUUCGCUCGGAAUGGGACCACCGCAACGGCCCAUACACAAGUGCCAACGAUAACGAAGCACUCGCAAU
rnacentral:tmRNA from 1 species